UGCGUGGGCAGGCUCCGUUUCUCCUGAAGCCUCUCUCUGCCCUGCCAAGACCCACCUUUUCCCAUGUCUUCUCAUGGCCGGUCCUUACUCAGUGCAUCUGGGUCCUGUUGACUCUUCCUCCUCUUACAGGGACAGUGAUCUCCUCCAAGAGAUUCUAACUCCAUCACUUCUUCUACUCAGUUCGACUUAAGAAGCUCAUCUACUCAGGAGUGUGGGACCAUCCCUUGGAGUAUGGCUAGCUAAAAAGCACAGACACUCUUUCCCCAGAAGCCUCACCUGGCAAGAGUUCCUCAGCCAGAGCUUAGAGACUGUCAGUCUAAGGUUCUUGAAGAUGAAGCCUGAUAUCCACUUUCCUCAGCCUACCUUGACUUACAUCGAGACAGCAAGACCAGCGAGGCUGCCUCUGACCCAUACACUCCUUCCUUCCCUUUGAACACAGUCUUGUGUGGACUGGACACGGUGUUGGGAGCAGCAACUAACAUCACAUGGCUGUGACAGAGCCUGAGAGAAUCGCGACACUCGUAUCUGACCUGCCAUGAUCCAUCUGGAAUCACCACAGCCCUUGGCCUCUGACUCCUCAUGGCUGCAGGCAGAGAAUGGACGAGAAAAUCAAAUGCUUUCUGUACUUCCAAAGACGUGUUAGCGAUUCGGUUCUGAUUGAUGCACUUCAGAGUUUCUACAACAUAUUCAUCUAUGCUUUACAAUGACGGGGGCAAGAACUUAUAAUGUAUCCUCUUUUAGAGGUGGAGAAACUGAAGGUCAGAAAGCAGGAGAGAGGAAAGCUAAGCAGGAGGCAGUAGAAAGAGAGACAGCUGCGUGGACCAUUCACUGCCUCCUAAGGGAACUUUAAUGUGUGAAGUCUAAGUGCGCCCACAGCUCCAGGAAGGACAAACUCCAUGCUGCAGCUUACCUCUGAGGAAACCGAAGCUUGGGCGAGUGAAAGAACCCACCAGAAAUAGACAAGACUCCAACGCAACACUAAGCCCUCCCCAGGAUCCUCUUUUCUGGGGUCACCUCAAGGUUCUCACCAUGAUGCAGCCCUUUGUGGAGUCAUUGAACGUGCCUUAAUCCAGGCAGUGUGACUAAAGGGUGUGUGUGCGGAGAUGUCCAACUGUCUGGGCCUCUGAGCUUGAUGAGGAGCAAGAACAGGGAGGCCUUCUGGAAGCAGACAGGGAUCGAGCCAUAUCUGCCACCUUUCUGAAUUCUUGCCAGGCCAACGAGAAGCAAAAGCUUCUGCCAAACUGGAGGUGGGCAGAAAUAUCAUCUGAAAGCCUGUUAGAAUUAGUUAGGAGUUUGAAGACAACUGUCCAAUGCCAAAGCAUGAACUACUAACCACAAAGGGAAAAGAAAAUCACACCACUUAGGUUUGGAGACUCACUGCCUGACUCUUUGCCUACCUCUGCUACUUAUUAGUUGUGUGUGUGUUGUGCAAGUGACUUUCCCUCUCUGUAAUUCA